UGUCAAUGUCUAGGGGGUGUUCGUGGUUUAGUUUUUUCAUAAACUGAACUGAAACUGCACUAAACCAUUUUAAAUGGUUUAGAAACUGAACAAAACUACUUUGUCAAAUAAGAAACUGGUUUUAAAU